GACAGAGGGUGCAAACGUUGUUCGGAAUUACUGGGCGUAAAGCGCACGUAGGCGGAUUGCUAAGUCAGGGGUGAAAUCCUGGAGCUCAACUCCAGAACUGCCCUUGAUACUGGCGGUCUCGAGUCCGGGAGAGGUGAGUGGAACUGCGAGUGUAGAGGUGAAAUUCGUAGAUAUUCGCAAGAACACCAGUGGCGAAGGCGGCUCACUGGCCCGGUACUGACGCUGAGGUGCGAAAGCGUGGGGAGCAAACAGG
rnacentral:rRNA from 1 species